AGUGGCCAGUUUAUCUUUUCAUGAGUGAACUGGAAAUAAAUGAGUAAAUAAAAACUGAUAGGUCGGGUCUAGGGCUGGCAAACGAGCGAGCCGGCUCGCAUUCGACUCGCGUUCGGCUCGAUAUUCGGCUCGCUCGAGCUCGGCUCGAAAUUAGAUGAGCCGAGCUUGAACAAAAAAAAAAGCUCGAAAUUCAUUUCAAGCCGAGCUUGAGUAUUACUCGGCUCGCUCGAAUUAGGCUCGAAAAGCUCGAAUAUAUAUAUAUGUAAACUAAGUGAGUAACCUAAGUUUAGUUAAAAUUGAGCCAAUAUUACUGGCCCAUAAGAACAAACCCAAUAUGCCAACAAAAAAUUAAAUUUUACUAAAUUUACACUCUCUUCCUCUUUUUCUUUUACAAAGCCUUAAAUUCCUUAUCUCUCUCUCUCUCUCUCUCUCUCUCUAUCUCUCUCUCCUCAAGCGGUCAAACCUAAAGCCCCCCAAGUUAUCAAGUAACAGCACGCGUCCGCUGUUGCCUACCUUGCCAUUAAUUGUGUGCUUGAGAAAAUAUACAGAAUACUUUUAAGAUAAAAAAUUAUUGUUUAUAUAAAAUUUUGAUUUUAGUUAUAUAUAAUUAGAUAGUUUAAUCUAAUAUUUGUCUAUAAUUUAUUCAUUUUUUGACCGCAUAGAUGAAAAAGAAUAAUAUGAAAAUUGAAGGCGGAAAAGAAGACAUGCGAAGCUGAAAAGAUUAGAUAUUCAACUCGUAAAUUAUUUUUCUUCAUAUUAUAAUACCGUAUUUCAUAUAAUUAUUUUGUAUCUUGAACUAUUAGAUAUAUUUUUGUAUCAAAUUGUAAAUAAUGUUCUAUACAAAUUAAACUAUUAAUCGUACGAUGUUGAGAAUUUCAAGCGGCUCGCUUAGGGCUCAAGCUCGCUCGACUUGAAAUUAGGCUCGCUCGAGUUCGGCUCGCAUUAAUUUCAAGCCGAGCUUGAGCUUAAAUUUAGGCUCGAAAUUAAUUUCAAGCCGAAUUUGAGCUAAGGCAAACUCGCUCGGGCUCGGCUCGUUUCCACCCCUAGUGGGGUCAAAGGAUCUAUAGUCUAUAAACUUAAAUUUAAGUGAUAGGUAGGUCCCACAUAAGCCCGGAGUAACCAAAUGCUGCCACGUGGACAAAGAUUAUGGGAUUUAAUAUAGAUUUAUAGAAGAUUAUAGAUAGAAAAAAAUUAGUGGCCAGUUUAUCUUUUCAUGAGUGAACCGGAAAUAAAUGAGUAGAUAAAAACUAAUAGGUGAGGUCAAAGGACUUAUAAUCUAUAAACUUAAAUUUAAGUGAUAGGUAGGUCCCACAUAAGCCCAGAUUAACCAAAUGCUGCCACGUGAAUAAAGAUUAUCGAAUUUAAUAUAGAUUUAUUUAUAGAUUAUAGAUGGAAGGAAAUUAGUGGUCGAUUUAUCUUCCCAUGAGUGAAAUGGAAGUAAAUGGGUAGAUAAAAACUAAUAGAUGGGGUCAAAGGAUCUAUAAUCUAUAAACUUAAAUUUAAGUUAUAGGUAGGUCCCACAUAAGCCCGGAUUAACCAAAUGUUGUUUAUGAAAUUUAAUAUAGGUUUAUAGAUUAUAGACGAUUCAAUGGAAGGAAAUUAGUAGCCGAUUUAUCUUCCCAUGAGUGAACCGAAAAUAAAUGAGUAGAUAAAAACUGGUAGGUGGGGUCAAUGGAUCUAUAAUCUAUAAAAUUAAAUUUAAGUGACAGAUAGGUCCCACAUAAAUCCGGAUUAACCAAAUGCUGUCACGUGGACAUAGAUUAUGGGAUUUAAUAUAUGUUUAUGUUUAUAGAUUAUAGAUUAUAGAUAUUGUUCGGUAAUUAAUUAUUAAAAUAUAAUAAUAAUAUCGUCAUAUCAUCUAGCUAUAUCUAUUUUGCUAAAUUAAAGAAGGGUAGUAGGGGUGUAAAAUGGGGGCCGCCCGGCCCAGCACAGUUGUGGGCCGCGCCAUGCACGGCUACUGUAGCAUCGUGACGGGCCGGGCCGGCCCGGCUCUAUGGGACGUGCUGGGACAUAUAUUCUUGGCCGACUACUCGGCCGCCAUGACCUGAUACAGGCCUGGCCGUGCUGGGCCGAAGGAGGCCCGUGGCCCACAGCACGGCAUGGCCUGCUUGAGCUGUGCCAGCCUGGGCAGCAAGGCUUGAACCCCAAGGCCAAGCUGGGCCUUGGGUUGGAUCUCUUGGGGAGAAGGGCGACCUUUGGAGAAGGUUUUGGUCCAAUAGCCCAAACAAUUUGGUCCAUGUUUGCGUCCAUUGGACUAAAAACACUCUCUAAUUUUUUUUCAAAAAAAUAAAAAUAUAUAUAUAUUUUUAAAAAAUAUAAAUAUUUAUUAUAUUAAUAAUUAUUUUUAUAAAUUUUAAUUUUUAAUAGAAAAAUUUAUUUGUUUACUUUUUAAUUUUAUAUAUUUUUUAAAAAAUAAAAAAUUAAAAUCUUUUUAAUGGCCGCCGAAGCACGGCCUGGGCCUCCAAGCGAAGGGCCAUGCUGGGUCCGACAUUUGGUAGCUUUGGCCCGGCACGGCCCCGGCCGAACUUGAAUAUCAGGCCGAGCAGGCCAGCCCUCUGGCCCAAAUCAAACACGAAAAAUAGGCACGACCCUCAUUACCCGCCCUCUAUUUUUAGAGGACAUGUGUCCCCAACUCCUCUCGUUCUCUCUCUCCCUCUCUGUAUAUAAUAUAAUAUAUAUAAUUAUAUAUAUAUAUAAUAUAAUAUAUAUAAUAUAUAUAUAUAUAUUAUAUUAGUUUUAAAAUUUUUAUGAUAUAAAAUUUCAGAUUUUUUAUAUCAAAAUUAAAAUUUUGAUACUUUCAAUUUCAAAUUUAAUUUAUAAUAUUUUAUUUCUAAAUUUUUAACUUCAAAAUUUAAAAUUUAAAUACCUAAAGUCUAUAAAUUAAUUAAUCAAUUUUAUUAAUAUUAAUUAUAUAUAAUAUAAUCAAGUUAUAUUAUUAAUAAUACACAUAAUAAAUCAUGUAAUAAAAUCUAAUAUGAUAAAUACAAUUUAAAUCACAUAAAAUAUCGAUGUAUAAAAAAAUACAAAAUUUAAAUUUCAGAAGUAUGAGUUAGGAAAUAUGGUGUGUGUGUAUGUGUAUAUAUAAAAUUAAUUUUAUUAAACAAUUUCUUCUACUAUUUUAUUUUCCUUCUAUUUAUUGAUUUUUUAAAAAAUUAUUUUGAUCGAUUUAUCUCAAACCUUUUUCAAUAAAUCUUUAUAAAAUAAGUUAUUGGAUAAAUUUACAUUGCACAUAUGCCAAUUUUAAUGUCUUUUAUUUAAAUAGAUUUAACUAUUAAAUUUUUUUUAUAUAACUUUUAUGUAAUUAAUAAUUAGGCUUAUAAAACUAUUUAAAAAAUAUAAAAAAGAUAAAAUUUAUUAUAAAAAUAUUUUUAUAUCAGCGGCAUUGCGCGGGUUCUUCAGUAGUAAGCAAUAUUCUAAGGUAUAUUUGGGGUACCCGUAGCAGCACUCUUUUUACAGUUUAUCUAAUUUUAGGUCUAAUUUAGGGACAGCGGAUUCAAACUAGGCUUUGCUUGAAAUUUUUUUUUUUUAAAAAAAUAAUCCAACUCCAACUCACCCAUUAGCCAAAAAAAUAAAAUUUAGACAACAACAAUUAUUUACUUUGCUGAUACGGCUCUUCUCUGGGAGGCACCCGAACAAAUUUAAUAUGAUAUAAUAUAUAAAACAAAUUCAAACCAUUAGAUCCGAAUCUAAAGGUAAAAAAAAUACUCACACACUUUUAUAAUCUAAGUCAAAAUAUAUAUUUUCUUAUAACCCAAAACAUAAUAUUUAAAAAUAAAAAUCUUUCUAUUUUCCAAACACUCUCCAUCUCCAAACCCUAAUAGCUAAAACAUCAAAAAAGAACUAUUUCAAAGCCUCUAUUUUCCAAACACUUUCAAUCUGCAAACCCUAAUAGUUAAAACAUUAAUGAGAGGAAGGUAGCAUGCUACCGCUUCAUUUAUUAAGGACUUGAAUUUAGCAAACUGUGGGAAGCAACAGGGCUUCCACACACACACACACACACCAAAAAAAAAAAAAAAAAAAAAAAAAAAAAAGAAGAGAACUAGAGAAGUGGUUAUAGACUUGUAGUCUCUUGUUCAUUUUUUUUCAAGAGGGUAUUUUGGUUUAUUGUUUUCUCUCCAAAACCGCAAUCUCAAACCUAAGAGGAAAAAAGAUGAGAAUUUUUUUUAAAAAAAAUUGAAAAUUAAAGCUGCUUCUUUGAUGUGGGUUUUUUUUAUUCUUCAUAUAUGUCUUUUUAGUUCUUUUAGGUUCUUAGACAAGGAAACUAUCUUUUCUUAGAAAAUUUUUAAAAAGUUUUUGUUUUAUUUUUUUUUCUUAACUAGUAUUUUUAACUUUACUCUCGUGGAUUUUCUGGGUUGUUGGACAAUGAACCUUUUUUAAAAAAAAUUUUAAAAAAUCUUUUGUUUUUAGUUUUAUAUAAUAUGUUUCGAAAUUUGGUAUAUAUUAUUUUUGGGUUCGGAUUUUUGGGUUUAGAAUUGGGCUUCUGGUUUUUGGUCAGAUUCGGGUUUGUUUUGGAUUUGGGUUCGAGUUUUCGGAUUCGGGUUCGGGUUUCGAAUUUUUGGUCGGGUUCGGAUUUCGAUAUGGAUUUUUAAAAUCCAUCGGGUUCGGUUCGGGUUCGGGUUACGGAUUUGGUAGUCGGGUCCGGAUUCGGGUUUUUAAAAAUUCGCCCCGAAUCCGACCCGUUGACAUCCCCAUGCGGCGACGACAACAGUGGUGGAGUGGGAGGCGUGGUUGCUAGAGACGAGCAAAGCGAAGGGGAAGAGGGAGGGGGAGGAGGACUCGCAUUUAGGCAUCUUGCCACCGUCGUGCUUGAUGAUCUUGUCGAACACGGCGCCAGCAUUGGUGGUGGCGGUGGUGCCUCCGCCGGGUGGAAGUAGGACGAGCCUCGCAUGGGGGAGGUAGGUCAUCUUCGGGUUUCGAUGCUUCGGCACCGCGCGUGAGAUGGAGAGGCUCGCGCUAGUGAGAGUGGUCAUCAUAGAAGGUAGAGAGAGAGUGCGGCUAGGAUGCUUAUGGAAGCACGGAGAGCUCCGUGCUUCCACUUUGUUUUCGAUGCUCAGACUUUCGAAUCGACGAUCGGCUCUGUUAGACUUGAUCUAGAGUAUUUAAAAUAUCUAAAAAAUAAAUUUUGUGAUUUUUCGAUAUCAUUUGCCUAGUGAUCGAAGUGGCUCAAAAUCAACGGUUGAAAAUAAAAAUCUUACAAAAUAUGAUGAUAUGACAAUAAAAUUUUAGAUCAAAGUUAUUGAUCUUGUUUUAUAUAGUAUAAAGAAUUUUCUAUCAAAAUUUCAUGUGAUUUGGAUAUUUCUACACCGUUAAACUUGCAACCAGCUCACCACGGCCGUUAAAAUUAUUGAUUUUGAGCCCCUUCGAUCACUAGGAAAUCGAUAUCGAAAAUCACAAAAUUUAUUUCUAGGUAUUUCAAAUAUCUAGAUCAACUCUAACGGAGCCGAUCGUCGAUUCGAAAGUUCGAACAUCAAAACAACUUGAAAGCACGAAGAACUCCGUGCUUCAUAAGCCUACCAGCCUCAAUAUAUAUAUAUAUAUAUAGGUGGAAUAAUAUCAAUAGCACUAAGUAUUGGUGUAUUAGUUUUUUAGCCCUUGGAUUGAAAAAUAUGCCGUUAGGAUGAUAUGGGCCCCCUUGUACUAUAUAAAAGUGAAGGUACUAUGCUAUCGGAAGCACGGAGCCUUCCGUGCUUCAGCUCGUUUCGAUGUUGCGACUUUCGAAUCGUCAAUCGGCUCCGUUAACUUGAUCUAGAGUAUUUGAAGUACCUAGAAAAUAAAUUUUAUGAUUUAUGAUAUCAUUUGCUAGUGAACGAAGGGCUCAAAAUAAUGGCUAAAAAUAAAAAUCUUACAAAAUGUAAUAAUAUGACAUUAAAAUUUUAAAUCAAAGAUAUUGAUCUUGUUUUAUAUAGUUAUAAAGAAUUUUCUAUCAAAAUUACACGUGAUUUGGAUAUUUUUACACUGUUAACUUACAAACGGUUCACUACGGCCGUUGAAAUUUGUUGAUUUUGAGUUUCAUUCGAUCACUAGGCAAAUGAUAUCGAAAAAUAAUAAAAUUUAUUUUCUAGGUACUCCAAAUACUUUAGAUCAAGUUUAACGGAGCCAAUCGACGAUUCGAAAGUCGCAACAUCGAAAACGAGCUAAAAGCACGGAAGGCUCCGUGCUUCCGAUAGCAUAGUAGCUUACACUAUAUAUAUAUAUAUAUAUAUAUAUAUAUAUAUAUAUAUUAUAUAUAUAUAUAUAUAUAGUGUAGAGGUAUACACUUUGAAUAAAAAAAUUUACGGUUGGGAUGAUAGCGGUCCCUUUAGGGUUGGGGUGUCCUCUAGGAUUGAGUGGGUUCCCAUUAGUUUAAUAUUAAUUCAAUGGUUAGAAUAAUCAAAAGAGUUGAUCUAAGGGUCAAAAAUCAAAAGUACAGAUCCUUUAAAAUUCCGAUAGAUAUAGUAGCUCUACUCUCUCUCUCUCUCUCUCUCUCUCUCUCUCUCUCUCUCUCUCUCUCUCUAUAUAUAUAUAUAUAUAUAUAUAUAUAUAUGUGUGUGUGUGUACGGCUAAGUUAAUGAAGCUGGAAUCUCUACUGUAAACCCAUGCCUAAUUAAGCUCUUAAUUAAGUCCAAGCGGUUCAUGCUUCUUUGGGGUUGGUGGUCACGUUGCGGGGACACGGCUCUAAUUAAGCCAUGCAUGUUGGUCAGUACCGUCACAGCCGCAACCCAAAUUAUAUGCCAUAAAAAUUAAUUAAGGAAAGAAGUCACUUUGGAGUCCGUACUGUUGAGAGGGCAAGUUGUUGGGGUGUUUUUUAUACGAUGCGACUUUUGGCGUUUUCGAUCUAUUUAAAGUUUUGAUCUUUUUAGAGAUUUUUUUUUUGUGUUUUACCUUUCGAUAUUAAUAAAAUAUUUAUUUCAUCUUCAUCCGAAGAUAUAAGCUGUCGGCCGAACCACGUAAAUUUCGCUAUACUCUUUACUUUUCUUUUUUUUCCCUGCAUUAAGUUUUUUUUCUAGAUCUAUUUUGCGUCGUUCCGAUUUUUACAUACAGUGUAAUUUUUUUGCAAAACAAUAUAAUUUUAUUUGUGCAACUAUUAUCUUUUUAUUCUUUCUUCUGUAAUUCUUAGACUUUUCUAUAAGAGCGGCAAUAUAUAAUAAGUCUUUAGAGGAAAAAAAAAAUUUCUUCAUUUUUUAUUUACUUUUAUUUUUUUCUAUUUUCUAUAUCUUUUUUCGCUUCUUGGAGAUGGACACGUCUUCCUCCUUAUUCUCACGGGCGGCGAGUACCUCCUCGGCCAUGACUCAUCGCUUUCGUCCGAUCUGCUGUCACUCGCACCCAUUCCGAAAUCUCCUCCUCUGACACCAUGUCGACGCUGGCGGUGGCGGUGGCGGUGGCGGUGGCUAUGAGUUCUUCUCCUCCGGCAUCGAUGUCGGUACCGAUGCGGAGGGUGGAGACGAAGGAAGAGAAGAUAGCACUGCCCUCGUUAUCGUCGCCGAGUAUAGAAGGGAUCAGAAAUUAAAAAAAAAUAAAUGAAAGAAAAAAAAAGAGUGAGAAAAUUGAAUAAGAAUAUUUUGAUCAGUUGCUAAAAAUUCAGUCCGAAUAUGUAAAACCCAAAUAGUAGCUUGCUUUUGCAAAAUCGUAAAACUAGAGAUUUUCUUUUAUGGAAAUUGACCUAAAUUUAUAAGACAACCAAAUUACAAUGUCAGAUAUUUUCUAGCUCUCGUUAGAAAGAGAAGAAUGUGUGUAACAUCUAAUCUUAUUGCAUAUUUAACCAAAUUUACAUAUGAGCCUGUACUAUAGAGAGAAAAUUAAAAUCAUCUAAUUCUAUUUUACUCAAAAAUAACACUACGUACAGAACAUAAUUAUCACACAAAUUAUUUUUAAAGCAAUUAAAGUUAAAGUAUGCAAUUGUUAAGCGUAAAUAAAAAUCUGUAAUUAUAAUUACUAACAAAGGAAACGUGAGAUUAUCAUGCGUCAAUAAGAUGCGACCAAUCUACAGUAAUAUAAUAAUAGUAUUGACAAUUUGAGGUUUCAAAUAAGUGCAAUGUAGCACUGGUUCAAAGUUCAAACUGGUCUUCUUCAAAGUUCAAACAUGUCUUACAAUUCUUUACCCCCCUAAGACUGCCACGUUAUUUUACACUUUUGGUACUUCAUGCCGCCGGAUUAAGGUUUAGGAUUUAGAACAUAAUGGCAGUGCCUAGUGUUUAAUAAUAGCGUUUAAUGUUCCGUAACUAAUACUUAAAAUAUAAUAAAAAUAUUAUCAUAUCAUAAAUAAUAUUUAGAAUACAUUUGGUGGUAUCUUUCGCGCGCGGCACUCUAUUUGAGGGGCACCGGCAGAACGGGCACGGCCGUUAGGGGGACGGCAAGCGUGAGAGCUUGGGCGAACUUAUCAGAGAGGUCGACGUCGCCGGAACUCCUCCGGCUCCGCCCACACCUCCGGGUCCCGCCCGAUCGCCCACACGUUCACCAUCACCCGCGCCUCGCUCGGCACCGCGAACCCCGCCACCUCCACGAAGCCAACUCCCGUCUCCGUCUCGGACGGUUUGCGCGGGAGCAGCAGCGGGCCCACCGGGUGCAGCCGCAUCGUCUCCUUCAUCACCGCUUGCAGAAACGGGAGACGCGCAACGUCGGAUUCCUCGAAUUCUUCCUUCGGCCCCAGCGUCUCCUGUAGCUCGGCGCGCGCCUUCGCGAGCACCGCAGGGUUGCGGAGCAGCUCCGCCAUCGCCCACUCCACCGUCUUCGAGCUUGUGUCGCUCCCCGCCGCAAAGAAGUCCUAAAUCAAUGCAACUCUCGACGGUAUUAAAAGCUUCCGGUAGAGCAGAAAGCCCUACGAGGAAACUGAAACUCCAUAGAGGCUGAUACUGUGAGAGCGAAAAUUAUUAGGAAUAGCGUAGCUAUAAAUUAUUUUACUAAUUUUUUUAUUUUCAUCCUCCGGACUAACUAAUAGAUUUUUUUUUUCCAUAUAAAUUUUAAAUUAUCUCUGUGGUUUAGUUUAUUUUUGAAUAAACUUUAAAUACCACCUCUAUAGUUUUAUACUUUCUCACUUUAUAACUUGUGGUUUAAAAUAUAUCAAGUUAGUGUCUCGUGGUUUCAUUUUUAUUUUUUCGCCAGUUUUUUCGUUAAUAUUUCGUUAAAUUAUAUAAAAAAACUUAAGAUACCCCACGUAGGUUUAUCGAAUAUUCACUUUAGUACCCUUUAGUUUUAAUUUUGUUGCUGAUUUAACGAAAAAAAUUAGUGGAAUCAAUAAUAAAAAGUUAAAAUAAAACCACAAGUCACAAAUUGAUACACUUUAAACUAUAGGGUACUAAAGUAAGAAAGUGUGAAACCACAGGGGUGGCAUUUGAAGUUUUUUCUUUAUUUUUUCUUUCUUAAUUUGUAGUUUUAAGAAUUUCACUUUUAUCUCCUUUUAAUUUAAUUUAAUCUUUUAUUUUAUAAAAAAUAGGGUACUAAAGUAAGAAAGUGUGAAACCACAGGGGUGGCAUUUGAAGUUUUUUCUUUAUUUUUUCUUUCUUAAUUUGUAGUUUUAAGAAUUUCACUUUUAUCUCCUUUUAAUUUAAUUUAAUCUUUUAUUUUANGCAUAUUUUUUCUUUCUCAAUUUGUAGUUUUAAGAAUUUCACUUUUAUCUCCUUUUAAUUUAAUUUAAUCUUUUAUUUUAUAAAAAAUAUUAUAUGAAAUAGUAUGACAAAAUAAAAAUUUUAAACAAACUAUUGGAUGACAAAAUAAAAAAUAUGCUAAAUUAAAAGAGUAAAGUAUAACUUUUUUAAUCGUGUGAUAACAAAAUAAAAAUAAGCUAAGCUAUAGAGGAAUAAAAAAAAUUUGAAAUAGAAUGAUAAAGUAAAAAUAAGCUAUUUCACUAGAAAGACAAUUUAAAAUUUACUUAUUUAUAUUAAUUUAUUAUCUAGUUUAUUUAUUUUUUAUUUAUAAACUUAUGAAUUAAAAAUUACAAAAACUUCUCCGUCUUUCAUGGAAGAGUGGGGUCCACCACAUCCUAUUUGUCGUGUGGGGGUCUACCCCUCUCUCUCUCUCUCUCUCUCUCUUUUUCUUAUUUUUUUCUGCACUCUAUCAUCGGCAGUCCCACUCACACUUCCUCAUCUUUUUUAUUUUUUGAUAAUACAUUUCUUACCCUUCCUCACUUCACCUUCUUCUAUCAAUCACACACACACAGGAAAGAGAGAGAGAGAGAGAAAGAGAGAGAGAGAGAGAGAUAUCACUUUUUUCUAUCAAUCAGAGAGAGAGAGAGAGAGAGAGAGAAUUGGAGGAAAAAAAAAUUUCCAAACACGAAACACUCCUCUUCCUUCUCCUCUCGAUCCUCUUCUCCCUCACCCCUUCUCACUACUGUGAAGAAGGAGAAAUGGAAGCCCUAAUAGUGGAUCGAAUCUUGUAAAACAACCGUUGCACUCUAAAAGCUUAAACUGUUAGAAAACGGUAUUUAAACAUUUUUAUAUUUAACACUCCCCCUCACGUUUGGGCUCGAGACUAUUUAAUCGGCUCAUGACGUGGGCUUGAAUUAAAUGGGAGAAAAUUAAUAUGUUAGGAGCCUGGCGUGACUCGAACUCAAGACCUCCUGCUCUGAUACCAUGUAAAACAACCGUUGCAGUCUAAAAGUUUAAGCUAUUAGAGAACGGUGUUUAAACAUUUUUAUAUUUAACAAAUCCACAUAAGCCUCCACCCCUCCGUGCACCGGAACACCAUUUUCCUUUGCAAGUGCGUCUAUGCCGAGUUUCCCUCCGAGGUCCUCACUUCUUAUCCCCUAUUUUUCAAUUUUUUUUUUUUUGUUUGUGCGUUGUUGUUAUUUUUUUGGAGCAACUGAGAUGAUGUUUUGGAGUAUCUAGAGCUAAUUCCUUUGGUAGAUCGAGCGGCAGAAGCAAUUACUGUAUUUGUUCUUCCAAUAGCUAAAAUCACUUUUAUAUUUCCAGAAGCGUUUAGGCGUACCUUUAUUCUCUUCAUAGUAAUGGUUUUUUUUUUUUAUUUCACCAAAAAGAAGGUUGUGAUUGAAAACGGCUGUUUGUGACCUCAGAGAAAACAAUUAAGAUAUGAUUAGAAGGUAAUUGAUUGAGAACUACAUACCGUGAGGAGAGUUAUGAUCUCUCGCCGUUGAAGCUUGGAUUGGGAGUGCAGCUCUAGAAGGGAGUCCAAGAAAUCACCCUUCUUCUCUGCGCCGGAGUUCAUUUCGGCCAAGCGGUGGUCAAAUAUGUCGCCGAAGAACUCGUAGAACCUUCUAAGGUAGCUGGCAUUGACGCGGCGCCGGCCUUGUAGGUCGAGCAAUCGGAAAAAGGGAAAGAAGUCCGAGAAGUUCAGCCUCCCGAUCUCCUCGAUGAAGCUCGAGACCAGCCGCUUGAAUUCUUGGUUAGAUGCCUCUUCGGCCGAUCUGAGGUCCACCACAUCCUCCGAGAAGAAGAUGUUGGAGAUGAUGUUGAGCACCGCAUUGAAUACCACAUUGCGAAUCCUAUUAGUACAACAACAUAUUUCUCAAUGCUCAAACUUGAACAAUAUUAAUAAAUUAUUUUAUAUAGUAUCGUAAUGGAAAAUUCUAAAUUAAAAUUUUAUGAGACCACUUAAAUUUAAAAUAUUUGUCUGGCUAGUAUUGAAACGUAAGAAACUCACGGUAGACAAUCUUCGAAAAAGAUGUUGGACUAGAGAGCAGAAUUGUAUACUCUUCAUAAAAAAGGAAGAGAUGAUUCAUCAUUUUUUCGCCGCAUGAGAAGUGGCCAAAAUUUUAUUAGAAUGCUUGAUGUCAAAUAAGAAGAGAAUACACUGUAGUACUUCAGGUUACAUUCUUUGGGAGACGAGUCGACUUAGAGGAGGCUCAAUAAGGUAGAAGGAAAUAGCGACAAAUGCUUGCAUUUGGUGGGUUAUCUGGCUCGAACAGAAUAGACGUAUUUUCCAAAAGAAAAAGCACUUGCAAAAUCAGAUAUUAGCCGACGUCCGUAUGGCUCGAAAUCAGUGUGCUAAACUUCGGGUAUUAUAACACCUUCUCUUACGAGUCUCCAACGGUGCGUCUAAUUUCGUCGUUUUUCUUGUCUUGUAUAAAGGAUCUAUACUCCUCUCCUUUUCCUUUUUUUCUUUCUUUGUGUUUUUCUUUUUCUACUCCUUUCCUAGAGGCCUGGUUGUCUCAUUGUGUAAUUGAAUGAAGCGGUAGCAUGUUACCAAUUUUUCAAAAAAAAUUUAUGAGACGUCUGCUCUUAUUUAAUAUUUACUCUCUAUUUUUUAUACAAAUUUGCAAUUUGGUUCUUUUAAAAAAAUUUUCAAGUCAAUUAAAUAUAAAAUAAUUAAGUAUAAUUUUCUAUGGCUGCGUAUAAUUGUUUAUUCCAAGAACAGAUAAAUUUGUAUCCGAUUAUAUCAGUUUAUUUUAGGAAUGAGGGUGGAACAGCUGUUCUAAAAUUAUAUCAGAUUAUACCAGUUUAUUUCAGACAUAAAAGAAAAACUAUUAUUUUUGAAUACCAAAAUUAAUGUUCAGAACAAAAGGGGAAAUAAGUUUCCGAAUAAAAAGCUAGCUAAAAGUUUACACUCACAUAAGAUUCCCUGAAACUAUAGAACUAGAUUGAAUCGAAAGUACGAAUUCACUAAAAAAAAUUUUUGGAAAGAUUCGUUAGGGUUCAUAAAAUAACUCAAAGUAUAAAUUAAUAGAAUAUUAUGAUUUUAGACAACAACGAUAGUUUCACUUAAUUACCUGACGGGCUGUCCGGCGCGGCAACGGAGGUUUGCGACGAGCUCGCGGGCCGGGCGCUCGCGCACGGCGCGCGUGGCGUCGAGGCUGCGGGGGAAGAAGAUGUGGGUGGUGAUGACGGCGCGGAGGUGCUUGCGCAGGGGGUCGCCCGUGGGGAGCCAUAGGGUGGAGGUCUCGUGAUGGCCGAGGGCGCGCAUGGCGUCGGGGACCCAGCGCCCCGAGAGGGCCUGGUCCUUCUUCUGAAGGACCUCGCGCGCCGCGGCGGGGGAGGAGACCACCACGGUGGUGGUGAGGCCGAGCCUCACGGACAUGACCGGCCCGUAGACCCGCGCCAGGCGCGCGAGGGAGCGGUGCGGCUGCGCGCCCACGUCGAGGAUGUUGCCGAUGAUCGGUAGCGGCGUCGGCCCCGGGGGGAGGGGGAGGGGGAGUGCUCCGGUUUUCCCCGCUCCCGGGCUUAGCUUCCGCUUGACAAGGUAGAGAAAUGAGAGGAUGAGUGAGAUCCAAAGAAAGGAAAUUGUGAACUCCAUUUUUCCGCGGAGAUGGUACAUGGAUAUGGUAUGUAGAGCAGGUUAUCUUUAUAUAUAGCUCUGUUUCCAGGGAGGAAGAGUGAUAAUUUAGUUUAAUCUCGCUGAAGUGGCAAAAUGCAAAGCGAAAGAGGGACAUCAAACCAAUCAGAUCAAAAAUAUAUAGUAUAAAGAAAGUGAUGUCCUAACUUCCAUAUAUAUCAUACACUAGUAAAAUACCCGCGCGAUGCUGCGGAUAUAAAAAUAUUUUUAUAAUAAAUUUUAAUUUUUUUAAUAUUUUUAUAUAGUUUUAUAAAUCUAAUUAUUAAUUAAAUAAAAGUUAUAUAAAAAUAAUUUAAUAGUUAAAUCUAUUUAAAUAAAAGUCAUUAAAAUUGGUAUAUGCGCAAAGUAAUUUAUACAAUAGUUUAUUUUAUAAAAAAUUAUAUGAAAAGGGAAUUGCAGAUAAUUCUAUCGGCAAAAUAAUUUAAAAAUAAAUCAAUAAGUAGAAGGAAAAAAAAAUUGCAGAAGUAAUUGUUUAAUAAAAUUAAUUUUAUAUACAACAUACACUAUAUUUUAAAAAUUUUACUCCUGAAACUUAAUUCCGUAUUUUUUUUAUACAAUGAAAUUUUAUGUGAUUUAAAUUUCAUCUAUCAAAUUAGAUUUUAUUAUGCGAUUUAUUAUGUGUAUUUUUAAUAAAAUUAUUAUUAUAUUGUAUAAAACUAUUAUUAAUAAAUUUAAUUGAUUAAUUAAUUUCAUAGAGUUUAGAGAUUUAAAUUUAAACUUUGAAGCUUAAAUUUAGCAAAUAAAUAAUAUAAGCUGAAAAAUAAAUUUAAAUUAAUAGUAACAUAGUAAAAUUAGAUAAAUUGCAAACUUUAAAAAUUUUGAAGUUUACAAAAUGCUUAAAAUUUAGAAAUAAAUAUGUAUUGAGUAAGAAUUUAGAAUUUAAAAUUUAAAAUAAAAAAAUAUAAAAAUUAGAAAUUUAAAACUUUAAAAUUUGGAAGUAAUCAACCAAUUUUAUACUUUGAUAAAAAAAAUUUUUAAAACUUUAUAUAUAUGUAUAUAUAAAUAAAUAGAAGGAAAAUAAAAUGAAGAGAUAUUGUUUAAUAAAUUAAUAUAAUAUACAACGUUACACUAUAUUUUUAAAAUUUGUUACUCCUGAACUUAAAUCCGGUAUUUUUUUAUACAUGAAAUCUUUAUGUGAUUUUAAUUGCUAUCUAUAAGGAUUAUGAUUUUAUUAUUGCGGUAUAUGGUGUUUUUGAAAAAAUUAAAGAUAUGGAAUAUAUACUAUAUUAAUUAAUAAUAAUUAAUUAAUAGGAUGAGGUAAAAAUGUUGAAGCUUAAAUUAAGAAAUAAAAAAUAGUAAAAAAUAAAUAUAUAAAAAAAAUUUAAAGAAAAUUAAAACAUAAAAUUUUGAGUUUUAAAAAGCUUAAAUUUAGAAAUGGUAUAUAAUAAGUAGAGAAGGAAUUAAAAUUAAAUUAAAAAAUAUAAAAUUAGAAUUUAAAACUUUAAAAUUUGAAGUAUCAAAUUUUUAUUUUUGAUAAAAAUUAUUUAAUAAUAUAUAUAUAUUAUAUUAAUUAUUAUAUUUUAUAUAGGAAGAGAGAAGGGGGUUUGGAGGCACGUUUGCACCGGUCCCUCAAACUCCUUUAUGUAGUUAGAUUAGAUAGAUUGUGAGCAGAGGAAAAAUGUCGAAUUAAGCACCUUCCAUAAGUGUUAUGCACGGUGUGACGUGUGCACUGAGUGACACAUGUACGAAGGAAACGGAGAAACAUCCUAUUUAUGAAGUGGUAAUGAGAAUUCAAUAUAAUGGGCUGUUUAGUUCCCAUUUAUUCAUUGUUGCUGAAUUAAUUUUAACUUAAAGAAUUGAUUUUGAUUUACAGUUACAUGUAACAUUGGGCUGGUCCAAAAAAAAAUUGUAAUUUUUCUGAGGUAAUUUUAUGAAAUCACUAGACAAAAUAUUUUUACUGCUUCAAAAUAAUAUUUUUUUUUUCAAAUUUUAUUUUAAAAUUUAAAUUAAAAUUAAAUUCGACUUUAAAAUUUAAAUUUUUAAUUUAAAAAAUAAACCAAAAUUUAAAAUUGUUAUUUGAAUUUAAAAGAUAAAGUUAAAAUUAAAAAUUUUAAAUUUUAAAUUAAAAAUCUGAACCUAAAAUGUGAUUUUUUUGAGAGAGAUAGGAAGUAUGGUUACCCACUUUGGACUUAAUUUAGAAAUAAAUUUUGCUAAAAUUUGAAAAUUUACAAAUUAAAACUAACCUCUAAAUUUAAAUUAAAAUUAAAAGUUUCAAACAUUUAAAUUUUAAAAUUUAAAAUUUUAAAAUUUAAGAUUUAAAAUUAUGAAAUUUAAAAUUUAAAUUAUAAAAUAACAAAUUUUGAAAUUCCACAAUUUAAAAUUUAAAAUUUAAAUUCAAAAUUCAAAAUUUAAAUAAAAUAUUGAAAUUGAAAAUUAAAAAUUGCCAAUUAAAGUUUUAUUUAAAAUUUAAAAGUUAAAAUUUAAAAUUUAAAAUUUAAACUUCUUUGGCUCUCUAAGUAUCAGUCUAUUUACAAUAAGAAAUACUCAAGUGUACCUCACUUUUGGGCAACCUAUUAUAUUGUUAAUGUGUUGGCCUACAGAUAUAGUCAUAUAGUGGGUUUAAAGUUUAGUGUUUAAAAUAUAAUCAUAUUGCUUAAGAUUUAACUAGUUUAGAGAGCCAGGCGAUGCGACAGAUAGGCAUUAUUACAAAUAUAUUUUUUUGUUACCAAAUAGUUUUGAAAUAAAUUCAAAAAAAAAAUAGAGGCAAUUUUCAAUUAGAAUUCAGUGUAAAACUUGAAGAGGAGACGAUUUUCGCCAUACAAAAUUCAAUAUAAGUAAAUAUGACAAAAAAGGGCUUCCAUCUGUGAAAAUGAAUCAAUCAAUUCACCAAUUAUACCAAAAAGAUCCAUAUGAAGUUAGAUUCAACCGACUACUUACAACUUAAUUGACUGAAAUUAGUUGAUUGAAAUUAUAGGAACAUUAAUUUGUGAUAUAAUUUGAACUUGAGCCAAAGAGAUUGAUAGCCAGAUUUUCAUUUCGAACAUAAUCGAAUCGCCCUAACAUAAAUUCCACCAUGGAGGUGGAAAAUAAUUUUGAUUUCGAAAGAGCGAAGAAUAAAAACUUUUUUCUGCACUACUGAUUAUUUAAAUAUCAAUCUUUAAAUGUCUGCAAAGUGCAUAAUAUCUGUUGAAAUCUUAGUUGUAAUAAUUUAACCUCUCAUUCCUUCUUUGCAGGGAAGUAUUUUUCUAGAAUUUACCAAAUUGUGCAAAGAUCUUACUGUCAUACUUAUUAUUGGAUUUGUCUUACUGCAAGUCUUGCCUUCAGCUGUCGUUUAUUUUGCACUUAUUCAUGCAAGGCAAAGUUUACUAUUUAAGAUGGAAACAUAGUUUAAAUGUUAAAUCUAUUUAUUUUUAAUAAUGGCUAAUAAAUAUCUCCCUAUGUUGUUUGUGCUCCUAAAUACCUUUUCUUAGGUGGGUUGAGGUAGUUUCUAUCAGAUAGAGUUGUUCUGCAGGAAUGGCCUCCAGAAAUAUCUGGACUGCAGGUCAGCUAUAGCUUAUAAAGGAUCUUUUAUUUAUUGAAUUUCUCUUAGACUAGCUCAUUUAACUUGCUUCAUUGUGUUAGAAUUUUAGCUGUUAUUGUUCCUUUUUCUGGCUUUUGCAUGUUUAAACUAUGAUAUGUUUUUAUUUUCUUUAAUUUUCAGAAAAUAUUACUCGAUAUUUUUAAGCUAACUGGUCAGCAUACGGGUAGUUUUUGGUUAGCUUAUAACCUUAGACUCAAAAGUCUUUGCAGCAAACAGAUUUUAAUUGUUGCAGAAAUGAUAAGAAAAGUGGAGAUUAGAAUUAGUGCUGUUGGUUAGGUUAUCUUUUGUAAAAGUGCUAACCUUGCAACCAUGGGUUCAACCUGCAACCGUGGGUUCAAAUCUCCCUUGGAGCAAAAAUUUUGCCUUUUUUGAAAUCGUACACUCAAUAUAAUUUUUACUUUAGCAAAAUCUGUAGGAGGAAUUCCGGUCGUACCUUAGAGUGGUAUUUUCGAUUAAUCCGGCACGAAGGCACAGAAAAAUUCAAUUGUUAUUAAAAUCUAACUAAUUUGUGAUGAUAAUUAAAUAAAUCAACUUACAAAUGAUUGCUAAAUUUCAAAAAAGAAAAUUAUGGAAGAAAAAUAUCAAACAAUUGAUCCGGAAGCGUACGAGACACUGCUCUAAGGCGUAUUUCCGUCCUUCGUGCGGGAUUAACCGAAAACACCGUCCCAAGAUAUGAUCGGAAUUUCUCCUCCUAUGUACACGAACGCGGGAGAGAUUGACGGAGUUUCUUUCAACACUCAGCGAUAAAGAUAUCAAAUAAAAUAAACUUAAAAUUAAAAUAAAAAAUUCUUGUCUCUUUUUCUUCCCUCUACUAUGUUCAUCUCUGUGAACAGUACAUAAAACAUGGCUCUCUGUCAUGUGUUCUACAAACUCAUGGACAGUGGAGUCCACUCUAUAAAAGCAGAGGUGAAGAAGAAAAAAAACAUUGCACAACGUUCCACUGUGGAACGUCUGCGCCCACUUCGCGUUCGCGCGCGAGCAAGCGUGAGCAAAUCUUAACAAACGCGCAUGAACAUAAAAAUAAAUAAAAAUAAUAAAUUAAAUAAUAAAAAAGAAUAAAAUAAUUAAUGAAUUAAAAAUAAUAAUUAUUAAAAAAUUUUGAAUUUUUCAUCAACAAAAUCAUAAUUUACCUAUGAAUCAGCAAAAAAAUAAAAUAAAAUAAAAUACCACGCAUGAACUGCAUGCUUCCUAUUAUGGUGAAGUGGGAAUUUGGUAAUUGAGAAGAGUAUACUCAAACCCCACCUAUCAUUUGAUACAUUUAUUAAAUUCUAAUGGGGCUCUCAGGGUUAAUUCAUGAGAAGGGAGGUGCAAAUUUGAUUAAAGAGUCUCUACAGAUGUGUCUUGCAGACCCAAUGUCCUUCAUAUAUAAUUGACAAUCACUGAUUCACUGUAGCUUCUUUUUUUUUUUGUCAUGUUUUGAUUUUCUAUGAUAGUGCUAUGUGAAUUUGGCUAUUUCAAAAAAUCCAGUUCAUGCAAACGCACGAUAUUAUAUUAACAAAUUAAAGUUUAAAAACUUAAUUAUAAUUAUUUAAUUACUUUAUCUAUAUAUUGUGAUUUAAUCUUUUACACUAUUUGUAUAAUUAUUUACUGUUUUUCAAUUUAGGCACCGGUAAAUAUCUGAAGGUCUUGGACCUUUGAACUUUUUUUUUAUUUCCUGUAGCGAAUAAUUUUACCAAAUCUUUUGAAGAAAUAUUUUUAUGUAGGAUCUUGCAAAUGAGAUUUUCAAGUUAUUCACAGCAACACAAAUUGGAAAAGUCUUCUUCAUGACCAAUGAUUUGCAGGUUUGUAUUGUCUCAAGAAGUUGGUAGUAAUCAUUUAGGAUUUAUUGCGGCAAUUACAUUUCGAUCUAACUAUUCCUCGCAAAACUACUACCGCGACCGUUUACUUGCAUAUUUUUUUUCGUAAAUACAACAUUAGCAUCCAAUAGCUUUCUUUUCAGGAAAUAUAAGUCUGCAAUUGUAUAUAAAGCUAGAUGAUAAGCAAAACCCGAUUGUAUAGAUUACAAACACAAUCCAUCACCCUCAAAUCAUUCAAUAACAUGAAUUUAAGUUUAAGUUUAAGUUUAAGUUUAAGUUUAUGAGAAAUAAUUAAAAAAGCAUGAUCAAUACCAAACAAGAUAUUAGUUACCCAUAGAGAGUGUCCAAUAUAAAGCUCGAUUUGACUCACUAAUAAUAUUUUAGAGGUGGGUGGGGUUUACCUUCUAUAGCAUUAUAUAAUUUUUUAAAUAAAUUUCGAAACACAUUAAUUUUCUCAUUUAUCACAUUUAGAUUGUGCUAUCAUAUUUAUUUUCGUUUGAUUGUGGGACAAAGUAACGAAUAAUUGGUACUGUUUACUCAAAUUUUAUCUUUAGCCUGAAAAUGACUUUGCACCAUUCAAAUCUUGGAAUCUUUGAUUGUGUUUGAUUUGGCAAAGUAUCUACUACUGAAUGGUCGUUGUUAUUGCAGACCAAUAAUCACACAAUCAUUUUGAUACAGACAUCUCAAAAUAGGACAACCAGAACAUUCAUGAAUUAUAGUUUAAUUAGUCAAACCAUGAAUAGUACGUAUAUUCAUUAUUUACACAACAACUCAUUUGCAAUUUUAAAAUAUAUUUUCAAUUGAUUUUUUAUAUUAUAAAGGACUCAUUAAAAUACUUAUAUUAAAUCAUUUGGCAUACUAUCCUUGACUAGGAUAUAAUUUUACUGUACUAGAAUUUAGUAACUUUGUCUUUUUUCUUUAUAUACAGCGUCUUUUUCCUAUUCAUUGAAAGCAUCGAUUGUUCUUUAUUUUUUCUUCUCUUUGAAAACAUUGAUAGCUCUUGAUUUUUCUUCUAUCUCUUGCAGUGCGUAGUGUUUGUACUGUUGAACAAAUAAUGGGAUUGCCUUAGAUCUAAUUACUAUAAUAUUUAUUUGGUCAUUGAGACCUGACUAAUACAUUGGCUACAUGGUUAGAUACUUAUUUAUUUCAUACUUGUCAGCUAUUGUAUUAUAUUUGUCUCUUCAUAUGUGUUAAAAAACAUAGGCCAAUUUGUAUAAAAAAUUUAUUAGGUUUGAGAUUUUGCAAAAAUAAAUCGUCUUUUUAGAUUUUGCAAAUUCGAAAUGAAUUUUCAAAAAACUGACCAAAAUACCCUUAUUCGCUUUUCUCUCAUUCUUUUUCUUCUUUCACUCAGAAGAGGGCGGUGGAGGCGGAGGUGGAGGAGAGGCAGAGGCUGCCCGCCUCGCCUCUGUCUCACGUGCCCUCGCUCUCGUCCUCGGCCUCGCCCUCGCCCGCACACCCUACCUUCGCCUUCCUCGCCUCCCCUCCUGCCGAGGCCACGUCUCGACCUUCUUCUUUUUUUUCUCUCUCUNUCUUUUUUUUUUUUUCUCUCUCUCUCCGACCUUCCUCCACCGCCUUCCCGGCUCUUUAAAAUAGGAAAGAGGGUAGCGUUAUGUCCUCUUCCUCACCUUUGUUUUCUCUUUUUUUUUUUUUUUCUCUUCAACCCUUCUCUACCGCCUCCGCAACCCUUCACGACGAUAACGAAGGCAAUGCCGCAACCUCUUCCUCCACCUUCGCCGGUGUAGGCACCGACAUCGGUGUCGGAGAAGGAUGACUCGGAGCAAGUGCGGGUGAGAGCUACCCGAAAAAAAUAAUUUGUAGAAAAUAAAAAAUAAAAAGAAUAAAAAAUAAAAUAUAAAGAAAAAUAAUUUUUUCUACAAAAAAAAGAAUAACAAAAGAGAAAAGAAAAAGAUGAUGAAUUUGCACUAUUUCAAGGAAUGUUGCAUUAUUUUUACUCUCUUUAAGAGAAAAAAUAUUUUUUGGAUGAAAAUUACACUCUUUGAAUAAAAAUUAUACUAUUAGGACAAAAAUUACACUAUUUAGCCAGAAAUAGGAGAAGGAGAAGGAGGAGAAAUAGUGCAAUUUUCGGCCAAAUAGUACAAUUUUCUAUCAAAGAGUGAAACUUUCGUUCAUAGAGUGCAAUUUUAUCUAAAAAAAGUAUAUUUUUUCUCUCAAAAAGUGUAAAUUUUUUAAAAAAUAGUGCAACGUUUUUAUGAAAUAAUGCAACAUUCUUUUGAAAUAGUACAAAUUCAUCAUCUUCUGCUUUUCUCUUUGAUUUUUUAUUUUUCUUGUAGAAAAAACUAUUUUUCUUUAUAUUUUAUUCUUUAUUCUUUAUAUUUUUUAUUUUCUGCAUAUUUUUUCCUCAGCUCUGUUCUUACCUGCACUUGCUCUGAGUCCUCCUUCUUCGGCAUCGAUGUCGGUGCCUACGCCGGUGAAGGUCGAGGAACAGAAUACUGCACGGUCCUCGUUAUCGUCGUGGAGAGUCGUAGAGGUGGUAGAUGAGGGUCGAAGAAAAAAAAAAGACCGAGGAGGAGGACGUGAUACUACCUUCUUUACUGUUGUAAAGAGCCGAAGAGGCAGUUGAAGAGUGUUGGAAAGGAAAAAAAAAAGAGUCGAGAUGCGACCUCGAUGGGGUCGAAGGCGAGAAAGGCGAAGGGAGGGUGCACAGGCAAGGCGAGGGCGUGCGGGACCGAGAUGAAGCAGAGCGCAUCCGCCUCCGCCUCCGCCUCUGCACCCUCUUCGGAGAAAAAGAAAAAAAAGGAACGCGAGUAAAAAAGAAAUAAGUGUAUUUUGGUUAGUUUUUUAAAAAUUCGGUCUGGAUCUGUAAAAUCCAAAAAAACGGCCUACUUUUGCAAAAGCUCAAAACUAAUGAAUUUUUUUAUACAAAUUGGCAAAAUAUAUAUAUGUGUACGCACAUUGAUAGUGAAUAAAUUAAGAAAGCAUAUACACAAAUUGGCAGGUAAACAAAAGUAAAUAUAUAUAGAAGCAUUACGGAUUGGAGAACUUAAAACAAUUAGGGACAAAUGACGGCAAAUCAACCGCAGAAAAUUAAGAAAUUCAUGAUUAAUAGAGAUCAAUAUCAACAUAAAAUUUAUUAUAUGAUAAAUAAAUCAUAGCAAACAAACAAAGCAACAAAUUCAAAUCAAACCUGUCGAAUAUGAUUAACCAUUACAGCCAAGUGCAGACAAUUUUCUGAGACAAAAUACAUAGUAUUCACUAUUUUUAGGGGAAAACAAUGCGGUAAGUAGGCAAACUAAUUAAAAUUGCAAAAAAAAUGAAAGGCUCACAUCAUGUCCAGUUAAAAGAGGCGGCACAGGUAUUGCCUGUUUGAGCCUUUCAUUCGCAAUCUGCCGAUAAAUCCCAACUUAGUUUCAGAUAAAAGAUUGACAAAGGUAGUAAUUAUAAAUUUUACAUUUACAAUGUUUGUUCCUAUAGAAAAUGCUGGAUUCUGAUACGGCUUUGAAAAAAUGAAUAGAUAAGUAAAUAAUUAAAUUUUAGGGAUGUUCGAAGAAUUGUGAGUUCAAUGAUUAGCAUAAAGUUGGAUAAAUAAAACUAUUGAUAUCUUCCGAAAUAUCUAGAAUAAUAUGAUCGGAAGUUGACAUAUAAGAAAAAGAAGAGGAAAUAAAGAAUCUUACCCAAGGGUGUGCGGCGGCAUAAUCUUCGAUAUGCUCGACAUGUAAUCGAGUCAACCAUAAUCCAAAUAAAACAUCCGGAAUAGAGUACAUUUGCUGCAUAGAAAAAAUUGAUGAAUGAUCUAUUAUAUAGCCAACAAAAAUAAUGGAAAGGAUGUAAAACAAUUCUUCGGAUUCAAUGAAUAUAGAAAUCCGUUGCGGCGUAAGAUCGGAGGAGCUGAGAAGACAAUAAAUUAGAACCCUUUUUUUGGCAAGAGAAGGAUAUGGAAACGAAGCGCCGCAAUCCAUAACAACAGGGACGGAAGAAGGAUCGAACCAAGUCGGAGUGACAAAUCUAGGGCGACGAACCAAGGUCUAAGGAUGCAUGAACCGGUUUGAUCAAUAAGAAAAUAGACUUAUUCAAUGGAAGAAAAUUAGUAGCCGAUUUAUCUUUCCAUGUGUGAACCAAAAAUAAAUGAGUAGAUAGAAACUGAUAGGUGGGGUCGAAGGACCUAUAAUCUAUAAACUUAAAUUUAAGUGACAAUUAUGUCUCACAUUAGCCCAGAUUAACCAAAUGGUGCCACGUGGACAAAGAUUAUAGGAUUUAAUAUAGGUUUAUAGACGAUUCAAUGGAAGAAAAUUAAUGGCCGGUUUAUCUUCCCAUGAGUGAACCGAAAAUACAUGAGUAGAUAAAAACUGAUAGGUGGGGUCGAAGGACCUAUAAUCUAUAAACUUAAAUUUAAGUGAUAGGUAUGUCCCACAUUAGCCCGGAUUAACCAAAUGUUGCCACGUGAAUGAAGAUUAUAGGAUUUAAUAUAGGUUUAUAGACGAUUCAAUGGAAGAAAAUUAGUGGCCGGUUUAUCUUUCCAUGAGUGAACCGAAAAUAAAUGAGUAGAUAAAAACUGAUAGGUGGGGUCGAAGGACCUAUAAUCUAUAAAAUUAAAUAUAAGUGCUAGGUAUGUCCCACAUUAGCCCGGAUUAACCAAAUGCUGCCACAUAGACAAAGAUUAUAGGAUUUAAUAUAGGUUUAUAGACGAUUCAAUGGAAGGAAAUUAGUGGCCGGUUUAUCUUCCGAUGAGUAAAUCGGAAAUAAAUGACUAUAAACUGAUAGGUGGGGUCAAAGAAUCUAUAAUUUAUAAACUUAAAUUUAAGUGAUAGGUAGGUUCCACAUAAGCCCGGAUUAACCAAAUGCUACCACGUUGGACAAAUAUUAUAGAAUUUAAUAUAGAUUUAUUUAUUUAUUUAUAGAUUUAUAGAUAUAAAUUAUAGAUUAUAGAUGAAAGGAAAUUAGUGGCCGAUUUAUCUUCCCAUGAGUGAACUGGAAAUAAAUGAAUACAUAUAAACUGAUAGGUGGGGUCAAAGGAUCUAUAAUCUAUAAACUUAAAUUUAAGUGAUAGGUAGGUCCCACAUAAGCCUGGAUUUACCAAAUGCUGCACGUGGACAAAGUUUAUGGAAUUUAAUAUAGAUUUAUAGAUUAUAGACGAUUCAAUGGAAGGAAAUUAGUGGCCGGUUUAUCUUCCCAUGAGUGAACCGGAAAUAAAUGAUUAGAUAAAAACUGAUAGGUGGGGUCAAUGGACCUAUAAUCUAUAAAAUUAAAUUUAAGUGACAGGUAGGUCCCACAUAAGUCCGGAUUAACCAAAUGCUGCCAGGUGGACAUAGAUUAUGGGAUUUAAUAUAUCUUUAUGUUUAUAGAUUAUAGAUUAUAGAUAUUGUUUGGUAAUUAAUUAUUAAAAUAUA
rnacentral:lncRNA from 1 species